rnacentral:miRNA from 1 species
AACCCGUAGAUUCGAAUUUGUGUU